GAGUGAUCGAAAGAUGAAAAGCACUUUGAAAAGAGGGUUAAAUAGCACGUGAAAUUGUUGAAAGGGAAGCGCUUGUGACCAGACUUGCGCCGGGCGGAUCAUCCGGUGUUCUCACCGGUGCACUCCGCCCGGCUCAGGCCAGCAUCGGUUCUCGCGGGGGGAUAAAGGUCCUGGGAACGUAGCUCCUCCGGGAGUGUUAUAGCCCGGGGCGUAAUGCCCUCGCGGGGACCGAGGUUCGCGCAUCUGCAAGGAUGCUGGCGUAAUGGUCAUCAGCGAC
rnacentral:rRNA from 1 species